rnacentral:lncRNA from 1 species
AAUUGUUCACUAUUUAUAUCUGAUUAUCAUCAUCAUUGUAGGAAAACGGAGCAAUUGAUAGUGGAUGUUUGUUUUGAUAAAUAGUUGGUGAUAGUUCGGGUAGAAAACUUGCUCAGCUGUUAGUUCGGGUAUGAAACUCGAAAAACCGGGAUAGUUAAAAACUAUUCACUCAAAACUAACAUAUCCGGUGUGAUACUACUUUUACGAGGUGGCAAGCAAAUAUGUUCUUCAUGAUCGAUUUAACUCCACGAGCUGACUUAUUUUCUUUCUGCAUUAGUUUCAUCUAACCAUCCAGAGUAGCAAAUGGUGCAAGAUUACCUAUCUGGUAGAAACUCAUAAGAUCAAACAUUGUUGGAUCUGGAAUCUUAAACCUUUGGUUGUUAUUCUAUUUGCUUCCCACUUUAUGACAAAACUCAUAUAUGCCGGGAGAUCGAUGACAUUUUUAAAAGCCAAAUGCUACUGAACAACAGUUUAGGAAAGGUAAUGUUACUGUUUUCAGCAUACCUAUUUAUCAUAUUAGUCGUCUUCUCUCAUGUUAAUCUUGCUGUCUCUAUCUCCGUUUCCAUCAUAUUCCUAAGAAAUAUAUCUGUUUCAAUUAUGGCAAAAGACGCUAAACAUGCCAUUUCCGCAAUAGAAGACAUAGUUUGGCUGAUAUUACCUGCUUGUUUAAUGAUCAUAGAGAUUUUGGGACAAGUCAAGUUUAAGAUGUUAACAAUGGGUGUCAGCUACUUCAAGCUGUCUAUGUACUCAAUGGGUUGCUCUUACCUAUGUUGCUAAAACUCUCCAAAAAUCUACAUUGGUGCGUGUUAGAUCCUAAAAAGUAAUGCAACUUUGAGGAUCAAGAAACGAAAACGACAACAUAUUUAGAGAGUCGGGGCAACACAAAGUCUUGCUAAUAUGAGUUACAUAAUGAUUAUCACAUAUGCAUUUCAAUUUAAUUGUGAAAUGAACUUGUAAGUGGUAAUCUAAUUUAGCUGAACUCUGGGAGAACAAAAAUGUAUCUAUAAUCUGUAUAAAACAUGCUCAAGAGCACACAACAUUGUGAGACUUUUUUUUUUUUAGAAACAAUGGAGUUGCUUUUCUUUGUCAAAUUUCUGUGAGAAGACUGCCUUUUUGUCUCCUAACAACUUUGUGCAUUAUUUUACACACUUGAUGUUUUACUUGAAUGCUUGCUUGAUAUUUGAUUCUGUCUCAGAAAGGGGAGACUUUGAGCAAUAGUAAAGUUAUAUCCGCGUGAGUUCUAGGUCAUUGUUCGAGCUGUGUUGGAAUCAACCGGUGAUGCUUGCUUUAGGUGCGGAGGUGUGGCCCUUCCAUGGACGCCCUACGUGAAUGCAGCAUGCUUCGUGCACCGGCUGCCUUUCUUAUUCAAUUAUGCCCCACUACAAUAUUUCAUUGGUUAUCACUUAAUCUCAGCCACACAGGAGCUAUAUGGGGACUAUAUGUGUCUAUAUGUUGUUUUUUGGGUUUUAUAAAAUCUGUAUUUUACAACAAGAACUUCAAAGACAUGUUCAUAUUAAUGUAUGAACAAUCAAAUACAUUUGCAACUCUGUAUUCACAAC